AGCAGCCGCGGUAAUUCCAGCUCCAAUAGCGUAUAUUAAAGUUGUUGCAGUUAAAAGCUCGUAGUUGAAUUUCGGGGUCUGUCCGUCGGUCGGGCUUCACGGUCCGUACUGGUGUGAUGGGUUCCUACCUUCUGAAUAACCGGCAUGCCAUUCAGUUGGUGCGCCGGGGAAGCAGAGCUAUUACCUUGAAAAAUUGAGUGCUUAAAGCAGGCUAGUGCUUGAAUAGAUUAGCAUGGAAUAAUAAAAUAGGACGGCAUGGUUCUAUUUUGUUGGUUUCUAGGAUCACCGUAAUGAUUAAUAGGGAUAGUUGGGGGCAUUAGUAUUCAAUUGUCAGAGGUGAAAUUCUUGGAUUUAUUGAAGACUAACUUCUGCGAAAGCAUUUGCCAAGGAUGUUUUCAUUAAUCAAGAACGAAAGUUAGGGAUCGAAGACGAUCAGAUACCGUCGUAGUCUUAACCAUAAACUAUGCCGACUAGGGAUCGGACGAUGUUAAUUUUUUAAUGGUCUUCGUUCGGCGCCUUA
rnacentral:misc_RNA from 1 species